UUAAAGGAAAGUUGACGGGGCCCGGCACAAGCGGUGGAGCAUGUGGUUAAUUCGAAGCAACGCGAAGAACCUUACCAGGCCUUGACAUGCAGAGAACUUUCCAGAGAUGGAUUGGUGCCUUCGGGAACUCUGACACAGGUGCUGCAUGGCUGUCGUCAGCUCGUGUCGUGAGAUGUUGGGUUAAGUCCGUAACGAGCGCAACCCUUGUCCUUAGUUACCAGCACGUUAUGGUGGGCACUCUAAGGAGACUGCCGGUGACAAACCGGAGGAAGGUGGGGAGUGACGUCAAGUCAUCAUGGCCCUUACGGCCUGGGCUACACACGUGCUACAAUGGUCGGUACAAAGGGUUGCCAAGCCGCGAGGUGGAGCUAAUCCCAUAAAACCGAUCGUAGUCCGGAUCGCAGUCUGCAACUCGACUGCGUGAAGUCGGAAUCGCUAGUAAUCGUGAAUCAGAAUGUCACGGUGAAUACGUUCCCGGGCCUU
rnacentral:rRNA from 1 species